UAGGUGGUAGUGAAUUUUUAAGCCUCAGUGAGUGGGAAGUCAGGUGGACCCAUGUUGUAAGAGAGGACGUGCUUCAUUGGGUCAUCCAUAGUCUACCUGGCUGUCUCCCCCAGAGAGAAGGCAUAUUCUCCAGGCCUCGGGUAUCAGCAGACAUGCAACUCUGCACAUCGAUCCAUCAUAGGAUUCAAGGGCAUCCACGUGGAGUCCACCAGCAAAUCACUGAGUGACAGAGUGGAGGCUGGCAGCAGGAUCCAGCUGCAUUUGGAGCUAACUGCAUCUCAUUUGUUUACAAGCAUUUAACUAAAAUUCCUCAUGGAGAAGGAAAUGACAACACACUCCAGUACCCUGGCCUGGAGAAUUCCAAGGACGGAGCCUGAUGAGGAAACCAAGAGGUUACAAACUCAGCUCAAACCUACAUUGUUGCAUAUCCAGUCUGACUGAUAUGGACUGAUGUGUCACUGAACUGCCUACAUUUUCUUUGAAUAAAUGAAUAUGUGAG
ensembl:lncRNA